rnacentral:lncRNA from 1 species
GUUUAUGGCUCCUCGUGUGUGUGUGUGUGUGUGUGUGUGUGUGUGUGUUAUGCAUGUCUGUGGGAGUACAUCUAGAGGGGUAUACCUGUGUCCUCACACCUGUGGAGGCCUGAGCUGAUGAGUUCUCACCUUAUUUGCUGAAGCAGUGUCUCUCAAUCACAUCCCAGCUUGCCGGGAGAAUCCCGUCUCUGCCUUCUAAGACUAGUAUUACAGUUGGCUCCUAUGUCCCGCUGGUGUUUGGCUUUCCCAAAGUCCUCCCAGAAUUCAAGGAUUGCAUGCAUCAACCAACAUGCCCAGCUCAAGAGCUUCUAAUACUAACCAGACACUCCAGGGAUGGCCUGGGCAUCACUGUUUGUGGGAUACCCACUCCGGGGCUUCCCUAGGCCAGGGCUGAAGACCCUAGGUGUGAGCAACAGGCUACUUUGGAGCACUUAGGAGAGCCAAUUACAAGCCUGACUUUGUAAGUUUGAGGUUGGGCUCCUGGCAUCCGCACGUUGAUCAGGCUCUUCACCAUUUCCACCACUGAAGAUCAAGGGCUCUGGACUUGGAUCACCUCUCAGAGCCUAACUCCUGUACUCAGGGGGUCUGUGAGCUCCAUUUGGAAUCUGAAACAAAAUGAGACCUGUGAGGAAGGAGUCAAACAUCUGCCAAAGGAAGGGCCCCAGGCAGCAGCAGCAUUUGAGAAGAGAGCUCCCACAGCCACAGGACCGGCGGGCGGGCGGGCACUCUCCCUUCCUCCAUCAAAGGACGCUCCACCCAGCCCGGCAGCUCACCUGUGCACCAGCAGAGCAAACAUGAGGUCCACCCACCUUUGUCUCUCCAGAUACUCUCUUGGAUGAACUGAAUGAACCAGUAAAUGGACACAUUGUCACACUUUGAAAGAGGAAAAUCAAAAUGUCACUGCCCCCUCCCAUGGGCUGGAGAGAUGGCUGAGAGGUUAAGAGCACUGCCUGCUCUUCCAGAGGUUCUGAGUUCAAUUCCCAGCAACCACAUUGUGGUUCACAGCCAUCUGUAAUGAGAUCUGGCGCCCUCUUCUG